rnacentral:rRNA from 1 species
CAGUCGCCACGGUAAUACGUAGGGUGCGAGCGUUAAUCGGAAUUACUGGGCGUAAAGCGUGCGCAGGCGGCUUUGCAAGACAGAUGUGAAAUCCCCGGGCUCAACCUGGGAACUGCAUUUGUGACUGCAAGGCUAGAGUACGGUAGAGGGGGAUGGAAUUCCGCGUGUAGCAGUGAAAUGCGUAGAUAUGCGGAGGAACACCAAUGGCGAAGGCAAUCCCCUGGACCUGUACUGACGCUCAUGCACGAAAGCGUGGGGAGCAAACAGGAUUAGAUACCCCUGUAGUCCCUGUCUCUUAUAC